GUGCUUCGACAGCACUUAUACUAAAAAUGGAACGAUGCAGAGAAGAUUAGCAUGGCUCCUGCAUAAGGAUGACACACAUAUUCAUGAAGCAUUUUAUUUUUUC